rnacentral:rRNA from 1 species
ACGCACGCUGGCGGCGUGCCUAAUACAUGCAAGUUGAGCGCUGAAGGUUGGUACUUGUACCAACUGGAUGAGCAGCGAACGGGUGAGUAACGCGUGGGGAAUCUGCCUUUGAGCGGGGGACAACAUUUGGAAACGAAUGCUAAUACCGCAUAAAAACUUUAAACACAAGUUUUAAGUUUGAAAGAUGCAAUUGCAUCACUCAAAGAUGAUCCCGCGUUGUAUUAGCUAGUUGGUGAGGUAAAGGCUCACCAAGGCGAUGAUACAUAGCCGACCUGAGAGGGUGAUCGGCCACAUUGGGACUGAGACACGGCCCAAACUCCUACGGGAGGCAGCAGUAGGGAAUCUUCGGCAAUGGACGAAAGUCUGACCGAGCAACGCCGCGUGAGUGAAGAAGGUUUUCGGAUCGUAAAACUCGGUUGGUAGAGAAGAACGUUGGUGAGAGUGGAAAGCUCAUCAAGUGACGGUAACUACCCAGAAAGGGACGGCUAACUACGUG